rnacentral:lncRNA from 1 species
UUGAUACGUUUCAAUAUUAGAAAAAUCGGUGUUAUUGAUAGGAGCAAUAUUCAAUCAAUCAUAACGAUGAAGGAUAAAUACUAAAGAAAUAUUCUAGUAAUAUUUCAAAAUAUUUCUUUCAAUUACGAUGCAUUACAAAAAGCCAAAAAAAGAAAAAAAAUUGGAAGAGGAAGAAACAAAGGAGAAAUCACCGUAUUAUGAUUCCUAAAAAGCCUUGAAACUAUCUCGGGUGAAAAAAGAAGAAGCUCCUGCUUGUGAAUAUGCAAUAAAACUCAAGAUAUCAUCGCAUAAUAAAUAUAAAGAAUUACGUGAUCUUCAUUAUACAAAAAUGAGUCCAACAUGAUACAAUUUUAAGUAUCAUUCCCAAUAACUUGUGAAUGUUUUUGUUCGAAAAAUUUCCAAGAAGAACAACGUCGAUCAUGAAAAAGCAUUAAAACUUUUAACAAGUAAGGCCACCGGAAAAUAUAAAAAAUUUAAUCGCCUAGAAUAGAACCCAUCUUUAAGGUCAUCCAUGAAUCCUUCGAACAGAUGAGAUCAAUCAUGGAGAAAACUGAACUGAACUUGUGAAUGCUCUACAAGAAGGAAAAAGCUUCGAGGAAAUCAGGUUGAUCUUUAAGCAAACUAGUCACCUACUACACACUAAAGACGAGCUAAAGUUUGAAUCAAGAAGACUCUUAUUUCAUUUAUUUUUGAUAGUACUCCCAACGGAUAAAGCCAUGUUGAUGGGUUUAUGAUCGAAAACGA